rnacentral:rRNA from 1 species
UUAAAGUAGUAAGGGCGCAGGGUGGAUGCCUUGGCACUAAGAGCCGAUGAAAGACGUGAUAAGCUGCGAAAAGCUUCGGGGAGGAGCACAUAUCCAAUGAUCCGGAGAUAUCUGAAUGGGGAAACCCGGCAGAGGAAACCUCUGUCAGCGUGCAGUGAAUACAUAGCUGUACGUGGGGAACCCGGGGAACUGAAACAUCUAAGUACCCGGAGGAAGAGAAAGAAAAUUUAUCGAUUUCCAAAGUAGCGGCGAGCGAAAUGGAAAGAGCCCAAACCGUGAUGCGUGCAUCGCGGGGUUCGGACUGCGUUGUGGCAGACGUAAGAUAGGAGAACGGACUGGGAAGUCCGGCCGGAGAGAGUGAAAGCCUCGUAUCCGAAAUCCCAAGUCGCCUAGCAGGAUCCAGAGUAGGACGAGACACGAGAAACCUUGUCUGAACGAGCGGGGACCACCCCGUAAGGCUAAAUACUUCUUAGUGACCGAUAGCGCAUAGUACUGUGAAGGAAAGGUGAAAAGUACCCCGGGAGGGGAGUGAAAGAGAACCUGAAACCCUGUGUCUACAAGCUGUGGGACCUCUUUAUAUGAGGGACUGCGUACUUUUUGUAGAACGGUCCGGCGAGUUGUGCGUACUGGCGAGGUUAAGGACUUAAGGUCUGGAGCCGAAGUGAAAGCAAGCGUUAAUAGCGCGUCAAGUCAGUGAGUGCAGACCCGAAACCGGGUGACCUAUCCAUGUCCAGGUUGAAGCUUCCGUAAGAGGAAGUGGAGGACCGAACCCACAUCCGUUGAAAAGGGUGGGGAUGAGGUGUGGAUAGCGGAGAAAUUCCAAUCGAACCCGGAGAUAGCUGGUUCUCCUCGAAAUAGCUUUAGGGCUAGCCUCGAUACAGAUUUGCGGAGGUAGAGCACUGAAUUUCCUAGGGGGCGUCAAAGCCUACCGAAGAAUAUCAAACUCCGAAUGCCGCGUAAUCGAUUAUCGGGAGUCAGACUGCACGAGAUAAGUUGGGCGGUCAAAAGGGAAAGAGCCCAGACCUUCAGUUAAGGUCCCCAAGUGCGCGUUAAGUGGAAAAGGAUGUGGGAUUUCGAAGACAACCAGGAUGUUGGCUCAGAAGCAGCCAUCCAUUCAAAGAGUGCGUAAUAGCUCACUGGUCGAGAGGUCCUGCGCCGAAAAUGUCCGGGGCUGAAACGCGCCACCGAAACUAAGGAACCGAAAGGUUGGUAGAGGAGCAUUGCAUGCGGGAAGAAGCAGUACCGUAAGGAGCUGUGGACUGCAUGGAAGAGAGAAUGCCGGAAUGAGUAGCGAGAAUAAGGUGAGAAUCCUUAUGGCCGAAUAUCCAAGGUUUCCAGAGUAAAGCUGAUCUGCUCUGGGUAAGUCGGGGCCUAAGGCGAGGACGAGAGUCGUAGCCGAUGGACAACAGGUGGAGAUUCCUGUACUGCGGUAUGACAGAACUGUGGGGACACGUAAGGAAAGCGGAAGCCGGGAAUGGAAAGCCCGGUGCAAGCGGGGUACCAGUCACUUUGGCAAAUCCGGGUGGCAAUGGGAAGCCGUGAUGCGGAGCGAAAUAAAGUAGCGAAGUCCGUGAGCCAUGCGUCAAGAAAAGCCGCUAUCGUUUAUACCGUACCCGUACCGUAAACCGACACAGGUGGAUGAGGAGAGAAUCCUAAGGCCGGCGGAAGAAGCAUUGUCAAGGAACUCGGCAAAAUGGCCCCGUAACUUAGGGAUAAGGGGUGCCUGGGAAACCAGGCCGCAGAGAAUAGGCUCAAGCAACUGUUUAGCAAAAACACAGGUCUAUGCGAAACCGAAAGGUGAGGUAUAUGGGCUGACGCCUGCCCGGUGCUGGAAGGUUAAGAGGAGAGGUUAGCGGUAACGCGAAGCUUUGAAUUUAAGCCCCAGUAAACGGCGGCCGUAACUAUAACGGUCCUAAGGUAGCGAAAUUCCUUGUCGGGUAAGUUCCG